UGUGCUACAAGUUUAAUAUCAGCUAAAUUAGGUGAUAAUCCUAAUUAUUAUUAUAUUGUUGGAACAGCUUUGGUUCAUCCUGAGGAAGCUGAACCUAAACAAGGCAGAAUCGUUGUCUUUCAAUAUUCUGAAGGAAAGUUAACACAGAUAGCAGAGAAAGAAAUAAAAGGUGCAGCUUAUACAUUAGUAGAAUUUAAUGGUAAAUUAUUAGCCAGUGUAAAUAGUACGGUACGACUAUUUGAGUGGACACCAGAGAAAGAAUUGAGAUUAGAAUGUAGCCACUUUAAUAAUAUCAUAGCUUUAUAUUUAAAAACAAAAGGUGAUUUUGUUUUGGUUGGGGAUCUAAUGCGGUCUAUAUUACUACUGGCAUAUAAACCAUUAGAAGGGAACUUUGAGG